GAUGAACGCUGGCGGCGUGCCUAAUACAUGCAAGUCGAGCGAACGGACGAGAAGCUUGCUUUUCUGAUGUUAGCGGCGGACGGGUGAGGAACACGUGGAUAACCUACCUAUAAGACUGGGAUAACUUCGGGAAACCGGAACUAAUACCGGAUAAUAUUUUGAACCGCAUGUUUCAAAAGUGAAAGACGGUCUUGCUGUCACUUAUAGAUGGAUCCGCGCUGCAUUAGCUAGUUGGUAAGGUAACGGCUUACCAAGGCAACGAUGCAUAGCCGACCUGAGAGGGUGAUCGGCCACACUGGAACUGAGACACGGUCCCGACUCCUACGGGAGGCAGCAGUAGGGAAUCUUCCGCAAUGGGCGAAAGCCUGACGGAGCAACGCCGCGUGAGUGAUGAAGGUCUUCGGAUCGUAAAACUCUGUUAUUAGUGAAGAACAUAUGUGUAAGUAACUGUGCACAUCUUGACGGUACCUAAUCAGAAAGCCACGGCUAACUACGUG
rnacentral:rRNA from 1 species